rnacentral:rRNA from 1 species
UACGUAGGGGGCGAGCGUUGUCCGGAUUCAUUGGGCGUAAAGCGCGGGCAGGCGGCCCGCUCAGUCGGCCGUGAAAGCGCCGGGCUCAACUCGGCGAGGUCGGGCGAUACUGGCGGGCUCGAGGCUGGUAGAGGGCGGUGGAAUUCCGGGUGUAGUGGUGGAAUGCGUAGAGCUCCGGAGGAACACCAGUGGCGAAGGCGGCCGCCUGGGCCAGUCCUGACGCUGAGACGCGAAAGCGUGGGGAGCGAUCCGG